rnacentral:rRNA from 1 species
AUACAGGGGGUGCGAGCGUUAAUCGGAAUUACUGGGCGUAAAGCGUACGUAGGCGGUUGGUUAAGUUAGAUGUGAAAGCCCCGGGCUUAACCUGGGAACUGCAUUUAAAACUGGCGAACUAGAGUUGAGUAGAGGGGAGUGGAAUUUCAGGUGUAGCGGUGAAAUGCGUAGAGAUCUGAAGGAACACCAGUGGCGAAGGCGACUCCCUGGACUCGAACUGACGCUGAGGUACGAAAGCGUGGGUAGCAAACGGGAUUAGAAACCCUAGUAGUCC